rnacentral:misc_RNA from 1 species
GAUGAAGAACGUAGCGAAAUGCGAUACGUAAUGUGAAUUGCAGAAUUCAGUGAAUCAUCGAAACUUUGAACGCAUACUGCGCUCUUUGGUAUUCCGAAGAGCAUGCUUGUUUGAGUAUCAGUAAACACCUCAACCUCUUCUUGAUUUUUCAAAAGGAGGGUGGACUUGAGCUAUCCCAACAACCUUUACCGGUCGGCGGGCGGCUUGAAAUGCAGGUGCAGCUGGACUUUUAUCUGAGCUAAAAGCAUAUCUAUUUAGUCCUCGUCAAACAGGAUUAUUACUUUUGCUGCAGCUAACAUAAAGGAUAAUUGUCCUCUUUGCUGACUGAUGCAGGAUUUUACGACACUUUAUGUGUUGUUCAACUCGAUCUCAAAUCAAGUAAGACUACCCGCUGAACUUAAGCAUAUCAAUAAGCGGAGGA